rnacentral:rRNA from 1 species
UAAUACGGAGGGUGCAAGCGUUAUCCGGAAUCACUGGGUUUAAAGGGUGCGUAGGCGGAUUUUCAAGUCAGAGGUGAAAGCUUCCCGCUCAACGGGAAAAUGGCCUUUGAUACUGUUAAUCUUGAGUACAGUUGAGGUGGGCGGAAUGUGUGGUGUAGCGGUGAAAUGCUUAGAUAUCACACAGAACACCGAUUGCGAAGGCAGCUCACUAAACUGUUACUGACGCUGAGGCACGAAAGCGUGGGGAGCAAACAGGAUUAGAUACCCUGGUAGUCCACGCCCUAAACUAUGAUCACUCGACAUGUGCGAUAUUACAGUACGUGUCCAAGCGAAAGCGUUAAGUGAUCCACCUGGGGAGUACGAUCGCAAGAUUG